rnacentral:rRNA from 1 species
AUGGGUGAUUAUACAUCGGUACGUGUCAGAAGUGGGGGAUAGCCCGUGAAAGCCGGAUUAAUACCGCAUACGCUCUAGGAGGAAAGGGGGGGAUCCUAGGUCUCUCGCUACAGGGGCGGCCGAUGGCAGAUUAGCUAGUUGGUGGGGUAAAGGCCUACCAAGGCGACGAUCCGUAGCUGGUCUGAGAGGACGACCAGCCACACUGGGACUGAGACACGGCCCAGAAUCAUACGGGAGGCAGCAGUGGGGAAUUCGGACAAUGGGGGCAAUCCUGAUCCAGUAAUGCCGAGUGUGUGAAGAAGGCUUUUGGGUUGUAAAGUACUUCCGUCUGGAAAGAAAAUUUAUGUCCUAAUACGGUGGGAGGAUGACGGUACCGGAAGAAUAAGCACCGGCUAACUACGUGCCAGCAGCCGCGGUAAUACGUAGGGUGCAAGCGUUAAUCGGAAUUACUGGGCGUAAAGCGUGCGCAGGCGGUCCGCUAAGACAGAUGUGAAAUCCCCGGGCUUAACCUGGGAACUGCAUUUGUGACUGGCGGGCUAGAGUAUGGCAGAGGGGGGUAGAAUUCCACGUGUAGCAGUGAAAUGCGUAGAGAUGUGGAGGAAUACCGAUGGCGAAGGCAGCCCCCUGGGCCAAUACUGACGCUCAUGCACGAAAGCGUGGGGAGCAAACAGGAUUAGAUACCCUGGUAGUCCACG